GACAGAGGAUGCAAGCGUUAUCCGGAAUGAUUGGGCGUAAAGCGUCUGUAGGUGGCUUUUCAAGUCCGCCGUCAAAUCCCAGGGCUCAACCCCGGACAGGCGGUGGAAACUACCAAGCUGGAGUACGGUAGGGGCAGAGGGAAUUUCCGGUGGAGCGGUGAAAUGCAUUGAGAUCGGAAAGAACACCAACGGCGAAAGCACUCUACUGGACCGCAACUGACACUCAGGGACGAAAGCUAGGGGAGCGAAUGGG
rnacentral:rRNA from 1 species